AAAGCCCAUGGACUGUCACUCAGAAGUUGAUAGGGGAGGAGAUUCGGGAGCAACCGUUAUUUUUUCGUCUCACUCAAAGUAAUGGAGGAGCAGUUUUCAGCAGAGGAGCUUGGUGUGGGGAAACGUGCUGUGGUGCUGGCAUAAUCUUUAUGGAACAGGAGGCAACGCUAUUCAGAGAUAACCACCAAGGCAGAAUGUUGGCGUGUGGAAGUACCUCUACUCAGAGUGAUAGAGAAAACUAUGGCUCUGCUUUUACUGAAGGAAUGGCUACCGGAGCGGGCAGCUUUAUGAAUAUAAGGUGAAAAGGAUGUAUGGAGAAGUUUUGGGAGAGUCAGACAGUCCACGGAACUUGCAAUGACUU